rnacentral:rRNA from 1 species
GGGUGAGUAAUGCCUAGGAAUCUGCCUGGUAGUGGGGGACAACGUUUCGAAAGGAACGCUAAUACCGCAUACGUCCUACGGGAGAAAGUGGGGGAUCUUCGGACCUCACGCUAUCAGAUGAGCCUAGGUCGGAUUAGCUAGUUGGUGGGGUAAAGGCCUACCAAGGCGACGAUCCGUAACUGGUCUGAGAGGAUGAUCAGUCACACUGGAACUGAGACACGGUCCAGACUCCUACGGGAGGCAGCAGUGGGGAAUAUUGGACAAUGGGCGAAAGCCUGAUCCAGCCAUGCCGCGUGUGUGAAGAAGGUCUUCGGAUUGUAAAGCACUUUAAGUUGGGAGGAAGGGCAGUAAGUUAAUACCUUGCUGUUUUGACGUUACCAACAGAAUAAGCACCGGCUAACUUCGUGCCAGCAGCCGCGGUAAUACGAAGGGUGCAAGCGUUAAUCGGAAUUACUGGGCGUAAAGCGCGCGUAGGUGGUUUGGUAAGAUGGAUGUGAAAUCCCCGGGCUCAACCUGGGAACUGCAUCCAUAACUGCCUGACUAGAGUACGGUAGAGGGUGGUGGAAUUUCCUGUGUAGCGGUGAGAUGCGUAGAUAUAGGAAGGGAACACCAGUGGCGAA